AUUACUCAUGACGGUAAGAUUUGUGUAUAAAUAAAGGCAAUCUCAUUUUCAUUUCUUCUCCCUAAAUCAAUUUCAACCUAUUUCUUUCACGCGCUCUUUCUCUUCUCCAUUUUCGCCGUCGUUUCAAAUCUAGGGUUCAUUUCUCCGGCAAUGGCCUCUAAACGUAUCUUGAAGGAGCUCAAGGAUCUUCAGAAAGAUCCUCCUACUUCUUGCAGCGCUGGUCCUGUUGCAGAAGACAUGUUUCACUGGCAAGCAACAAUAAUGGGUCCUGCAGAUAGCCCAUAUGCUGGAGGAGUGUUCCUAGUGACUAUCCAUUUCCCUCCUGACUAUCCUUUUAAACCACCCAAGGUUGCCUUCAGGACAAAAGUUUUCCACCCAAAUAUCAACAGCAACGGUAGUAUAUGUCUUGAUAUCCUCAAGGAGCAGUGGAGUCCUGCAUUAACCAUAUCAAAGAACCUAGGUGUAGUCUUUCUGGAUGACAUCAGGAACUGACUCGGAGUCCCAGGAGUUACCAUAGAUGCAUGAAUGACAUGUUCUGCUUCUGGUUGAGAUGGUGAAUGUUGAGAUAGGCUGGCAUGACCGUUAUGGCUAAUUUGGUGGAUUCCAUCAUCUUUUCUAUUUGCCUUUUCUUAUCAUCAGAUUUAGGUCAUUCCCUCGUUCCGAAACAUUUGAUCUGCUGAAAACUCAAUAAUUGCUUCUGGAUGUAUUGCUCUCGAUAUGCUCACUGUUGACGGAUCCAAACCCCGAUGACCCACUGGUACCAGAGAUUGCUCACAUGUACAAGACAGACCGUGCAAAGUACGAGGCCACAGCAAGGAGCUGGACGCAGAAGUAUGCAAUGGGC